rnacentral:tRNA from 1 species
GCGGCUGUGAUCUAGUUGGUAAGAUUCAAGCUUCCCAAGCUUGCUGCUCGGGUUCAAAUCCCGGCAGCCGCA